rnacentral:rRNA from 1 species
AGUGAACGCUGGCGGUAGGCCUAACACAUGCAAGUCGAACGGCAGCACAGUAAGAGCUUGCUCUUACGGGUGGCGAGUGGCGGACGGGUGAGGAAUACAUCGGAAUCUACUUUUUCGUGGGGGAUAACGUAGGGAAACUUACGCUAAUACCGCAUACGACCUACGGGUGAAAGCAGGGGAUCUUCGGACCUUGCGCGAUUGAAUGAGCCGAUGUCGGAUUAGCUAGUUGGCGGUGUAAAGGCCCACCAAGGCGACGAUCCGUAGCUGGUCUGAGGGGAUGAUCAGCCACACUGGAACUGAGACACGGUCCAGACUCCUACGGGAGGCAGCAGUGGGGAAUAUUGGACAAUGGGCGCAAGCCUGAUCCAGCCAUACCGCGUGGGUGAAGAAGGCCUUCGGGUUGUAAAGCCCUUUUGUUGGGAAAGAAAAGCAGCAGGUUAAUACCCCGCUGUUCUGACGGUACCCAAAGAAUAAGCACCGGCUAACUUCGUG